GGAUGAUGUGGAUUAAUUCGAUGCAACGCGAAAACCUUACCUACCUUGACAUGUCCGGAAUCCCGAAGAGAUUGGGAGUGCUCGCAAGAGAGCCGGAACACAGGUGCUGCAUGGCUGUCGUCAGCUCGUGUCGUGAGAUGUUGGGUUAAGUCCCGCAACGAGCGCAACCCUUGUCAUUAGUUGCCAUCAUUUGGUUGGGCACUCUAAUGAGACUGCCGGUGACAAACCGGAGGAAAGGUGGGGAUGACGUCAAGUCCUCAUGGCCCUUAUGGGUAGGGCUUCACACGUCAUACAAUGGUCGGUACAGAGGAUUGCCAACCCGCGAGGGGGAGCUAAUCCCACAAAGCCGAUCGUAGUCCGGAUCGCAGUCUGCAACUCGACUGCGUGAAGUCGGAAUCGCUAGUAAUCGUGGAUCAGCAUGUCACGGUGAAUACGUUCCCGGGUCUU
rnacentral:rRNA from 1 species